AGUUGACUUUAUCAGACUAAUUUAGUGGAUGUUGAACCUGUUUACUAUUUUUAUGCAUAGAGAUAGGCUUUGUUAAUUUCAUUAUCCUCUGCUGCAAUCUAGGCUUUCAGAACAAAGGAGAAAGAAACUCCAAGCAAAGGAGGCUGAAUUGAGGAGGAGGGAGCAGGAUGUUUACAUGUACUUCCGUGGCAGUGGCAAAGCAGCAGAGAUGAAGCGUGAGGCUGCAAAACGGACAAUGAUGGCUGCGCUGCCAUGAUUCA